UACGUAGGGUGCGAGCGUUGUCCGGAAUUAUUGGGCGUAAAGAGCUCGUAGGCGGUCUGUCGCGUCUGCUGUGAAAUCCCGAGGCUCAACCUUGGGCCUGCAGUGGGUACGGGCAGACUAGAGUGCGGUAGGGGAGAUUGGAAUUCCUGGUGUAGCGGUGGAAUGCGCAGAUAUCAGGAGGAACACCAAUGGCGAAGGCAGAUCUCUGGGCCGUAACUGACGCUGAGGAGCGAAAGCAUGGGGAGCGAACAGG
rnacentral:rRNA from 1 species